rnacentral:rRNA from 1 species
AUUGAACGCUGGCGGCAGGCCUAACACAUGCAAGUCGAACGAGUGGCGGACGGGUGAGUAAUGUCUGGGAAACUGCCCGAUGGAGGGGGAUAACUACUGGAAACGGUAGCUAAUACCGCAUACCAUCGGAUGUGCCCAGAUGGGAUUAGCUAGUAGGUGGGGUAACGGCUCACCUAGGCGACGAUCCCUAGCUGGUCUGAGAGGAUGACCAGCAAACCUGGAACUGAUACACGGUCCAGACUCCUACGGGAGGCAGCAUGGGGGAAUAUUGAACAAUGGGCGCAAGCCUGAUGCAGCCAUGCCGCGGGUAUGAAGAAGGCCGUCGGGUUGUAAAGUACUUUCAGCGAGGAGGCGUUACUCGCAGAAGAAGCACCGGCUAACUCCGUGCCAGCAGCCGCGGUAAUUC